GACGUAGGGUGCAAGCGUUGUCCGGAAUUAUUGGGCGUAAAGAGCUCGUAGGCGGUUUGUCGCGUCUGCUGUGAAAGCCCCGGGCUCAACCUGGGAAUGGCAAUGGAUACUGGCAAGCUAGAGUGCGGUAGAGGGUAGUGGAAUUCCCGGUGUAGCGGUGAAAUGCGUAGAGAUCGGGAGGAACACCAGUGGCGAAGGCGGCUACCUGGACCAGCACUGACACUGAGGCACGAAGCGUGGGGAGCAAACAGG
rnacentral:rRNA from 1 species